CACACUUGUACUUGUAACCAUGCCUUAGGGAGAUCCCAAUGAAGAUGUAACACACACUUGUACUUGAAACCAUGCCUUAGGGAGAUCCCAAUGAGGAUGUAACACACACUUGUACUUGUAAUCAUGUCUUAGGGAGAUCCCAAUGAGGAUGUAACACACACUUGUACUUGUAACCAUGUCUUAGAGAGAUCCCAAUGAGGAUGUAACACACACUGGUACUUGUAAUCAUGUCUUAGGGAGAUUCCGAUGAGGAUAUAACACACACUUGUACUUGUAAUCAUGUCUAAGGGAGAUCCCAAUGAGGAUGUAACACACAAAUGAACUUGUAACCAUGUCUUAGGGAGAACCCAAUGAGAAUGUAACACACAAAUGAACUUGUAACCAUGUCUUAGGGAGAACCCAAUGAGAAUGUAGCACACACUUGUACUUGUAAUCAUGUAUUAGGGAGAUCCCAUUGAGGAUGUAACACACACUUGUACUUGUAAUCAUGUCUUAGGGAGAUCCCAAUGAGGAUGUAACACACACUUGUACUUUUAACCACGUCUUAGGGAGAACCCAAUGAGGAUGUAACACACACUUGUACUUGUAAUCAUGUCUUAGGGAGAUCCCAAUGAGGAUGUAACACACACUUGUACUUGUAAUCAUGUCUUAGGGAGAUCCCAAUGAGGAUGGAACACACACUUGUACUUGUAACCAUGUGUUAGGGAGAUCCCAAUGAGGAUGUAACACACACUUGUAAUCAUGUAUUAGGGAGAUCCCAAUGAGGAUGUAACACACACUUGUACUUGUAAUCAUGUCUUAGGGAGUUCACAAUGAGGAUGUAACACACACUUGUUCUUGUAACCAUGUCUUAGGGAGAUCCCAAUGAGGAUGUAAAACACACUUGUACUUGUAAUCAUGUCUUAGGGAGAUCCCAAUGAGGAUGUAACACACACGUGUACUUGUAAUAAUGUGUUAGGGAGAUUCCAAUGAGGAUGUAACACACACUUGUAAUCAUGUAUUAGGGAGAUCCUAAUGAGGAUGUAACACACACUUGUACUUGUAAUCAUGUCUGAGGGAUAUCUCAUUGAGGAUGUAACACACAAAUGAACUUGUAACCAUGUCUUAGGGAGAACCUAAUGAGGAUGUAACACACACUAGUACUUGUAAUCAUGUCUUAGGGAGAUCCCAAUGAGGAUGUAACACACACUUGUAAUCAUGUAUUAGGGAGAUCCCAUUGAGGAUGUAACACACAAAUGAACUUGUAACCAUGUCUUAGGGAGAACCCAUUGAGGAUGUAACACACACUAGUACUUGUAAUCAUGUCUUAGGGAGAUCCUAAUGAGGAUGUAACACACACUUGUACUUGUAAUCAUGUCUUAGGGAGAUCCCAAUGAGGAUGUAACACACAAAUGAACUUGUAACCUUGUCUUAGGGAGAUCCCAAUGAGGAUGUAACACACA